rnacentral:rRNA from 1 species
CGCGGGUGAGUAACACGUAUCCAACCUGCCGUCUACUCUUGGCCAGCCUUCUGAAAGGAAGAUUAAUCCAGGAUGGGAUCAUGAGUUCACAUGUCCGCAUGAUUAAAGGUAUUUUCCGGUAGACGAUGGGGAUGCGUUCCAUUAGAUAGUAGGCGGGGUAACGGCCCACCUAGUCAACGAUGGAUAGGGGUUCUGAGAGGAAGGUCCCCCACAUUGGAACUGAGACACGGUCCAA